AAAUGUGUGUGUGAAAAAUUUUUAAGCAGUUGAAAAGAGCGGGGGUGUGGUGGGAAGAAUUAUUAAACAACAACAAAAAAAUCAAUCCUCGGUUUGGCCUGGCCAGAUGAGCGUUUCUCGGCUCAGGUUACCACUGGCAGUGGCCCCGCUGGUGGCUCUGUUCCUGCUUCAUUCGGGUUGCUCUUCUCCAGCCUCCCACCGUCCCCUCGUCACGGCUCUCCCAGCGCCUCAUCAGCACCUUUCCAGCCUCUACCUGAUGCCCACUUCGAAAACCAGGCCAAAGUUCAGGUCUCGGAAGAAACCAUCACACCGAGGUCAUUUCUGAGCACAGUGUGGAAGCUCCUAUGUUUGCAGGUGUUUACGUGCUGUGUUUACUUUGGGGGAAAGAAAACCAGCAGCACCCUAUAAGAUCACCCUAUGAGAUGAACACUGAAGGCGCAAGUUCUUUUCCAGCCAGCAAACAAGGCAAACAUCUAGCACGUGGAAGGAGCAGUAUUACCCAGAAAUUUACAAAUUGGGGCCGGGCGCGGUGGCUCACGCCUGGAAUCCCAGCACUUUGGGAGGCCAAGACGGGCGGAUCACGAGGUCAGGAGAUCGAGACCAUCCUGGCUGACACGUUUCACCACCUGGAAGUGGGGAGCCAGCUCCAGCACAGCACUUUGUGGGAGGACAAAAGAGACGGUGUGGAUAAAGUGCUCCGCAGAUCACCGGGGGCGGCAAAGGACGUUGGGUACUUGUGGCACCAGUGCAGAGUGCGAAGGAGGUGA
rnacentral:lncRNA from 1 species